rnacentral:rRNA from 1 species
AACAACUCUCAGCAACGGAUAUCUCGGCUCUUGCAUCGAUGAAGAACGCAGCGAAAUGCGAUAAGUGGUGUGAAUUGCAGGAUCCCGUGAACCAUCGAGUCUUUGAACGCAAGUUGCGCCCGAGGCCAUCAGGCCAAGGGCACGCCUGCCUGGGCAUUGCGA